rnacentral:rRNA from 1 species
AGUGAACGCUGGCGGUAGGCCUAACACAUGCAAGUCGAACGGCAGCACAGUAAGCGCUUGCUCUUACGGGUGGCGAGUGGCGGACGGGUGAGGAAUACAUCGGAAUCUACUUUUUCGUGGGGGAUAACGUAGGGAAACUUACGCUAAUACCGCAUACGACCUACGGGUGAAAGCAGGGGAUCUUCGGACCUUGCGCGAUUGAAUGAGCCGAUGCCGGAUUAGCUAGUUGGGGGGGUAAAGGCCCACCAAGGCGACGAUCCGUAGCUGGUCUGAGAGGAUGAUCAGCCACACUGGAACUGAGACACGGUCCAGACUCCUACGGGAGGCAGCAGUGGGGAAUAGUGGACAAAGGGCGCAAGCCUGAUCCAGCCAUACCGCGUGGGUGAAGACGGCCUUCGGGUUGUAAAGCCCUUUUGUUGGGAAAGAAAAGCAGCAGGUUAAUACCCCGCUGUUCUGACGGUACCCAAAGAAUAAGCACCGGCUAACUUCGUG